UGGCCAGCACAAAUUGUUUUGGCACAGCUGCCAAUUCCACAGCCCAUUCUGCUAGGUCCCAAAAUGGUUGCUCGUGAUCAGAGUUAUAGGAGCUAAAGAGAAGACAGCUGCUCCCGACCUCAAUUCCACACGUUCUUUCAUCCUACUGUCCUUUAAGAGAAAGUGACAGACACUUUACUGAGAGAGCAUAAAGAGGACUGAAUGAAGAAAUGCAAUAUUCUCCUUAUUUCAAGAGUACCAUCAGCCUAGAAUUGUUCUGUCAUAUUUUAUUAUAUCUCCAUAAGAAUAAGC